rnacentral:rRNA from 1 species
GCGUACUCCGUAGCGGUGGGGGGGGAUAUGGGGGGGGGGCAAGCGUGAUCCGGAAUCACUGGGUUUAAAGGGUGCGUAGGCGGCUUGAUAAGUCAGAGGUGAAAGCCCGCAGCUUAACGGCGGAACGGCCUUGGAUACUGUUGAGGUUGAAACAGGACGAGGUUGGCGGAAUGGGGCAUGUAGCGGUGAAAUGCAUAGAUAUGCCAUAGAACACCGAUUGCGAAGGCAGCUGGCUAGACCUGAUUUGACGCUGAGGCACGAAAGCGUGGGGAGCGAACAGGAUUAGAUACCCCAGUAGUC